GUGGGUAUGAAUAUGGGGCGGGUUUAUGCGGGUUUAAAGGUGAUGCGGUGCGGUGCAGUUUUAAAACUUGUGGGUGUAGAAAAAACCCGUACCGCACCGCACCCACACCGCACCACACCAUUGUCAUUCCUAACCUCCAACACCAAUACCAAAACCAACACCACUUACAACAAAUGGACCACCAACACCAACACCAAUACCAACACCAACACCACUUACAACAAAUGAACCACCAACACCAACACCAAUACCAACACCAACGCCAACACUAACACC
rnacentral:lncRNA from 1 species